ensembl:lncRNA
GGAAUGAUUGCUGAGAAUGGGGUCCCUGUAGCUCUGUGUGCACAUGCAGGCGCAGGUGUUGCGCUCCUGUUAAGGGCUGUGCCUUGCUCCUCCCCUGUGCAUGCCAUGGGGUUAUCCCUUGGUCCUUCCCUGCUCUACAAUGACAAGUGUUAACUUCAACAUCCUCCUGGUGGAAAAAAAAAUACAGACAAAUGCACACAUGCACACACACACACAUAUAUAACAGGUCCUCUCAGUGCUGAUCCAGGACACUAUGCAGGCUUCUCCCUUGCAGUAUUGCAACCAAACAACAAGAGGUGUUUUGCUUCAGUAGCUGAAGAAUACUAUGCAAGGCACAGAGGACCAAAAUGACCCCAAAACCCCUGGAAAAAGGAUGCUUUGCUUUCCUUCCGACACAGACUGCCCUGCCUGUUGGACUAACAGGGGACCACCCGUUCCCCGUGACCCACAGAGCUUCCUGGGCUGGCGGGCAGCAGCCAGGAGGUGGGUCCUUCAGUAGGUGCUGAUAUUAUCAAGUGCAAUGCAGAAUGUGGGAGCUCAGCUCCUCAUCACAACCAGUUGUGAGGUGUGUCUGGUGCUCAGGGGCUCCCUGCCUUGUUUGUCACCCCAUCUGCCUGUCUUCCAGGUACUUUGCUUUCACCCUGCGUGGUGGGCUGUUUGAGGGUCUACAGAGCCUGGGGUCUUUCCCAUGCUGACAUUCCUGCUUGCGUAGCCUGAUCUUGCUCACAGUGUUGCUUGUCCUAGCAGGAGGAUUGAGCGUGGAUGAGCUGUUGUUCCCCAGUGCUGCUUUCUUCUCUUCUGUACUUGGCUACUUGCAGAUUUAGGGCCACAUUUCUCUCUCCAGAAGAGCUUUAAACCCAGUGCUUCUGUGGGUUUCUUGUUGACCAAGCCCUGUUGCCCUUUCUAGUCUAAUUGCAAGUGUUAAGUGCUGCAGCUGCAGCUCUGCAGCCACAUUGUUUUGCUGCUGAAAAUUAUAGUUUUCCCUUUAAUUUGAGUCUGGCAGAAUUGAAGGAGUGUUCUCCACUCCCCCAGAUGCUCACUGCCUUCUCUGUCCCCUAUUGUCUACCCUGGAAAUGUGGAGUUGAAGCUAUUUCUGUCUGUGCAGAAUGAAAAUGGUGGUGCCUCAGGCCAGGGUCAUUCUAGGAGGGUGAUGGGGCAGUUUGUCCCAGCCCUGGUUUGAUCAAAUAGGGAAGUCCUGACCAUCCCGGUCCAGUCUCAUAUCCAGAGGCCCCAAGGUUUCUGUUUAACCUUGGGAAUUCAUUCACCCCAGUCUGCAGCUGAUUCCUCUUCCUCCCACUUCCACUUUUCCCUGGUGGCACAUCAGCCCCUGAUCGGGCUGACUCACCUGAGCUGGCAAUAAGCAAUACAUUUGCAACCCAAUCCAGUAAAAAAGUUCUUUGCGUGGCACAUUGCAAGGUGUUGAUGCGCUCCUGGAAGAGCUGCAGGGUGGGUUGGGGAACAAUGAUGCCUUGUCUCUGCACAUCUCUUGCUCCAGUAAAUCCCGUUUGCUUUGGAAAGGAAUGGGGACAGGACGAGUUAAGCCAGAGCUGGCAGCAGCAAAGUCCAGCCCCUGCUGUAUCUGGGGAGGGGACUGGAUCUGUGUGUCAUCCACUCUGACAGUAUCACACAGCAGGCUGGAAGGGCUGUGUGUCCUUUCCCUGUGGCACUGUGUCCUUGCUCUCUCUUUGCUGAAUGGCCUUUUAAUCUCAGAAGUGUCUCUCUUUUCUCUGUCUCAGAGACCUCACUGCCCCCGUCUUUCCUUAGGGGGACAAUGCUAUUUCUGUGGCCUCCAUACUAAAUGAGGGCUAUUUCUGCUUUCCUCCCAGACUGAACCUCAGAACUGGUAGUGCUUCAUUUUGCUAACACAAGUACUGUAUUUGGCUCAUUGAGUGUGUGACAGGAUCUCUCCCUUGUUCCCAAAGAGCUUCCAAGGAGGCAGGUGAGUGCCCAGCUAGGGGGUGACCCUCAGCAGGGUGCCAACACCUGCAGCCUUACCCCUUCCUACCACUCUUCUGUCUGCAAAGGGACCACAGGCUGGACAACAGCUCCUGUCAGGAAGAUGCUGAGAGCCAUGGGGCUGGCAGGGCUUUGCCCCCCAUCCAAUAUGUGCCCUCUUGCCAGGCUGUACCUCCUCUCUGUACCUCACACAUCAAAUGCGGCCAAGCUCCCCGACUACCUCGUGGGGAGGAGGAGGGCGGCCGGGAGGCUUCAUACCCUGAGCUUGGCCACAAGGCACAUCACUCCAGCA